CACCCUUUCAUCACUUGGAGGUCAGUGGUCAUGUGAUUUGGACCACUGAGGACUGGAGAAUCCAGAGGCUGAGUGCGUGCAGAGUGCUUGCAAGCUGUUGCAGGGUUUGUGGCUUUACAGGCACACACAGGGCCUUGCUGAGGACGACACACUGGGAAGCCACGCACUUGGCGGGGCUUUGCCCCUGUUUUCACAGGAUCCUGCCAGAGAUGGGAGGAAUCCCAGGAGUAGCCCCUGCAGGGCAGGAAGGAUGGCCAUUGCAGAGUGAACCCUGGAAUGCUCAGUGAGUUCUGCUCAGGAAAGAGCUGGAGAGUGGAGUCCAUCAUCUGGAUGAAGACAUGGAGGAGGUCAUGACAGUGGAAACGUGUGGCUGAAUCUCAGUGGGCCCAGAAGUGGAGACCUGGAAGCGGAGGCUAGAACCAUGGUCCGACGGCUACACUGUAGUCCAUAACUCCCAUCCCUAUGGCCCUAAGUCUAUCAGCUAGGCCCGUGCGCUAAAGGUUCCAAGACCUCCCAGUAGAGUGAUACCAGAUGGGACCAAACGUCCAAACCUGUGGAGGAGUGUACACACACAGACUGUAUGAUGGCCAUGACAAAGGACUUGUGCAAGACUCAAGCCUGAGUACUGAUGCUUCCUGACACGGGACAUGGGGAAGGGACUCACAUCCUCCAUUUCUGCUAGACACAAGACCCUUCUCUAGCCCCCACACCCCCAGGCUGUUCCUUUAGGCAGGUAUUAUUUGGAGUACACUCAUAUCUUUGAAGUACUCAGCAGAUGAGGAAAUUAUGUGGCAGACAUACCCUAUUUCUGUCUUUAAUUAAAGGAAAUACACCUUUUAUAG